UGACUCCAGACCUUGUUGCUGA
rnacentral:miRNA from 1 species